AUGCUUAUUGAUUUCUUCAACAGAAUCUAUAUAUGAUUUUGAUAUGCUUUUGCGUUUGAAAAAAAGUUAGCAAACAGUCUCUAUCUAUUAGGGAUCAAGACUGUUUACAGAAAUUGUGAAUUCUGAUUGAUUAGCUUCAAGCUAUGGUCUAAACCCCUUUGUUGUGUUGCAUUUUGUGAGUAACAAAGCCUUUUACAUUAGGGACAGAGCGGAAUAGUCAUAUAUAUGCUUACAACUUUCUAUUGAAUUGAUAUCCACCUCCUUUCUCUAACUCUAAUCAUAUAUAUAUAUACUUUACAUUGUUAUAUUGAGUUUCUCUAGUUUUGAAGUUCACAUAUAUAGAAAAGAAUUAAAAGCUACUAAUGAUAAUGCAUUUACCACUCGAUUCACAAUUUACCUUAUGCCCACUAAUUAGAGGAGUGGAGAGAGCUCUGUCGUUGAUAGAAUUAGUAGUUUGCCUUGUGAUCUUUUUGAGAAGAUAUUAGGAUGCUUGCUUUUCAAUUAUACGAAAAUGAAGCUAUAAGUGGGUAAUAAUUUCCGAACUAGUGCUUGAUGAGAACGUUGGCAAAGGACGACUCCUGAAAACUUGAAUGGAAUUUUUGAAGCAUGUAUUGUCAUUGCAACUGCAUUUGAGAAGAUAGGUGUUGUAACCACAACAGAUUUCAGUCAUAGGGGAAUGAAAAUGAUGGACGAGAUGAAGCAAUUCCCUCGAGCAUCACCGAACGUAGAGUUUAUAUACCAAGAAGUUGAUAUUCAUUUUUGAAAUUUUUAGGUAAACGACUCACCAUUGAGAUUGUUCGAUCCUUUUAGUUUCUUUGUGUGAUUUGUUUCAUCUCUUUCAGAAAGGAAGCAAUUAUACCCCUAAACAACAAACCAAUGUGUAGCGAUUGAAAAGUCUCUUUCGUCUCUCAUCCUUGUCUUAAUUCUGAUAGAUCAACUUCUUCCUUCAUACAAGCUACUAUUUGUGAGUAACAAACACUUUUCUAUCGCAUACCGGGUGAAAAGUCUAAUGUAGUACUAUCAAGUGGUUUGAAACAUGGGUACGAAGUGGUGAAUUUUCCCUAGUUAUCUACCUGUUAACCUUUAGAAUUGCGUGGAUUAGACAUAUAUCUUGAAGAUUACAACUAGUAGGUUUCAUAAACCCUUUGAUAUCAGGUGGAUGGUGGAAUAUAUCAAGUUCGAGAUGUCUAAGUUGUUGGAAUGUUAAAAGAUAAAAAGGUAAAUGAUAUAUAUUGCCUUAGAAUAUAUGAAGGGUGAAUUCCUAGACAUUUUUUUUGAUAAAUAUCAAGAAGACACGUCAAAUUAAGACAGCAGAGUGUAAACUUUAGUAUUGAUCCUUGAUGUAGUCGUAGGACUUGGUAAAUGAUUGUCUUGGCUUCUGGAUUGUCUUUGAAAGAUCUGAAAAAUUAACUGUGAAAAUCAAGUUUUGCACAUGUUACUCAUUUGUACCUCUAGUCUUUUGACAAAAUAUUGGUCUUCACUGUAUCUUUCAAAAGACAAGCUCCAUAGAAUUUUAUCCAGGACAUUACACGAUAAAUUGCUCAUUGUAGCAUUCUUCAUGGUUUAGUACACAAGUUUAUAAACAACUCUAGUAAUUCAAAUAUGAAAUAAAGAAAAUAUCUAAAUUCUCAUAAUUACACAUUUCAACCAUGUAUGCAUAGUCUUUUAUAACUACAAAUUCACAUUUUUGAUUGCAUAGAAGUUUAUCAUUUUACCAAUAUAAAGGGAAAAAAUAAUUAAUGAUGAAUGAGAGAGUACCUGAAUUUUUUUUUUAUUAUAUAUAUAUAUAUAAAGAUAUUUCACUUCAAUAUAUAGUUUUUUUUUGUGAGGGGGACUAGGAAGUAGGAAACUAUUUCCAUUUUCAGAAAAAGAUCAUGUAGAUAUCGAUUCUUUGCAAUGAAAAAACAUACAUUAGAUCAUGCUCAUUUUUGGAACGUCGGCUAUUUCCAUUUUUGAAAAAGAUUUAUAGAAAUCUAUACUUAAAAUAUGAGAUAUCUACUCUUGCAUUUUUUUCACCUAAAUCCACCCUGAUUACUAUCCAUAUAAUGGACAGAUCGUAAGAAAUCAUAAAUAGGCGCCAAAAAUAAUUAGGAGUUCAGCCCCUACGACUUUUGUCUAGUGGAAAGUGUGUUGCAUGGAUUAGACAUAUAUCUUGGGUUUCGGUUUGCAACCAAUGAAACCUACUAUUUAAGUCGAGAAGAAUAUACGGCCAAAUUAUAUUCUUCUCAGCCUAAAUAGUAGGUUUCAUCCGUUGCAAACCAAGAUGUAUGCCUAAUCACGCAACACACUUACCACUAGACAAAAACCCUAGGGGCGGAACUCCCAAACAUUUUGGAGCCUAUUUUUGCACACUUCAAUUUGUUUAUAAUCUUAUAGUAAUCUGGGUGGCUUUUGGUAAAGAAAUUGCUAGAGUAGAUAUCUCAUAUGUUAAGUAUAGAUUUCUAUAAAAUCUUUUUUUAGAAAUGCAAAUAGUUGUCUGGCGUUCCAAAUAUUGAAAAUAAGGUAAUUGCUUUAAUGUAGGUCUUGCCAAUUGCACGAAUAGAUUUGUGCAAGAUCUUUUUCUUGAACUGGAAAUAACUUUCUUGGCUCCCCUCGCCAAAGAUAUGUGAUGUGUAUUUAGGUGAAAUAUCCUUAUAUAGGUGUAUAUACAUUAUUGAAUCUUUUAGAUUGUAUUCAUAAAAUCACCAUUGUUGUCUCCAAUCAACAUUUUCCUCAUACUCUCACAUUCAUCAUUAUUUUUCCCUCCGAUAUUGGCGAAAUGAUAAAGCUCCAUGCAAUUGAAAAAGUUGAACUAGCUAGUAGUUAUAUAAGACUAUGUAUACAUUGCUGAAAUGUGUAUUUAUGAGAAUUUGAAUAUUUUCUUUAAUCCAGAUCUGAAUUAUUAGACUACAAACUUGUGUUUUAAAUCACGAAGAGUGCUACAAUUUGCGUAGUAAUAUCCUGGAUAAAAUUUUAAGAAGCUUGCGUUUGAAAGAUGCAGCGAAGAGCAAUAUCUUAUCAAAAGACUGGAGGAACAAAUGGGUAACACGUGCACAACUUGAUUUUCUUAGUGAGUUUUUCGCUUCUUUCAACAACAAUCAAGUAGUGAAGACAAUCAUUUACCAAGUCCUGCGAAUCCAUCAAGGACCCAUACUAAAGUUUACUGCUCCAAGACUAUUCUUAUAUCCCCCUAAUUUGACGUAUUAUUUUGAUAUUUAUUACUGGAUGUUCUUCUUGUCAAAGUGUUGAUCCAACAAUAUUUAGGUUCUCACAUCCAAAUGCCCAUUGCUUGAAAGUUUGUGGUUGACUUGGUGCACCGAAUUUGAUAUUCUAGAAAUUGAUGCCACCAAUCUCAAAUGUCAAAAUUUCUUGGAACAUCAAAUUCCAUUUGCUUCAAAAAUACCCCGAUACUUAGAAGCAUCAUUAUGUAGCUCAACUCAAGUCAAGAAUUUUUGUGGAUCCAUCACCUUUUUGUUCUUAUCUUACAAAGUUAUUCCAUUUACAUGCCAUCCCUGGAAAAACUGGAACUAGGCGGUUCAUCAAUAGAGGAAAUAUACAUUUAUAGUCUAUUAAUCAAAGUUGGUACAUAUCAUAAACCAUGGGAGGUAUACCAGAGAAUCUACCGAUUGCUCUAAAGCAUGUCAAAUUUCUCUGUAUUUUGGAUAUAUCUUUCUGAAAUAUAAUGUUGACAAGGUUCCAAGUACAGGUCACUGGUUACAAGCUACUCUAAAUUACAAUAACUUACAAUUGAAUGUGGAGUAGUAGGCAUUGUUGUGGAACCUGUUUUACAAUUAUUAUGAGCUAAAUCAAUGUCGUGUGGUGCUGUGAAGCUGCUACGAAGUGUGGAGAUGUGUUAUUUUAUUGGUUUUGAGAUGGAAAUGGAAUUUGUGAAGUCUAUAUUGGCAUGUGAACCUGUACUGAAGGAGAUCUUUGAUGGAUGAGAUGAAACAAUUCCAUCGAGAAUCAGACAACAUUAGAUUCAAAUUUGAAGAAAUAUGUACAGGUCUAUUUGCACAUAUUCAUAGAUAAACUUGAUUUAUUCAAUUCAAUUUCCUUUUGAGAUCCCGAUAUGACCUAGAUUAAUUCCAACACAUUUCUACCUAUAGCAAUUGAGGUAGAUUUGUCUUAAAUAUCCGCUUUUCCUUCAACAUCAAUCAAUGAAGUUAAUUACUUAUAUGAUCAUCAGGUAAUUGCAACAUCUGUCAAUGCCACUUUUUCAAAUAAGAAAGUCCAACUAUUUCCUUAGCUUUUGUAAAUUAUAGUUGUGUAGUUAUUGGUAAAUAUCAUAAACCACUUAUAGAUUGAAUUGUACCAUCUAUAUUUUCUUACUUCUAACCAAAAAAUAGGAGAGAUUUUGGGAAAUGAGUGUUGUUGUAAAAUGAAAAGAAAUCACAAUCGAACAUGAGAACAAUAUUGAAAAAUGUAUCAAACAUGAUUUAGGGUUAUAGAAAUAAAUCUCUGAGAUGUACUUGGACUUUAGGAACGUCGGGAAGCAUGAUGCUGUUUCAGGUUGAUCUCCGGGAAGAACUUCUACUUGCGGAUGCCUUCAAAGAUUGCAUAAUGCUUUCUUCAAUGUUUUAUGUCUUUAGGAAAUUAUGAACCCCUCUCCCCUAUUAAUAGUUGUAUGAAGUAGGCAGCUCAAGUGUAAGUGAAUUUUGUUGCCUCAUUUUGAUAGUCAUUAAGUUUAUCACAAAUGUAUUUAAUAAAGUUGCUUGUGAUUGGUCAAAACAUGUCAUUUUGGACAAUAAACGACUUUUAAUUGAUUCUUGCUCUGAUUGGGAGUUUCCAUGUCAUUUAAACAAGACAUCAUUUUGUUUCUCUUGAAUUUGAAUAGGAUGUCAUAUUCUUGAGUACGUUACAUGAGUUUGUGCCUUCAAUGAAAUUGACCAUUGGUUUGAAACUUAAUCCAUAUUUAGUAUAAAUCAGACUGAACAUUUUGAUGUGUUUACAACGUUCCCUGAGAUCUUGACCAAAAAAAAUAACAUAAAUCUUUAAGAGUUGUCCAAAUCUAUUCCGUUACAUAGGAAAUGGUAAUAAAUGUCAUUGUUUCAUAAUUUUAUGGUAAAAUCUCAAAUAUGAUAUCACACAUUGAGAAAGACUAAUUUAUGUCAUUCAUUAAAAGUUUUAAUACACAAUUCACAAGGCUUGAUAAUCACAGUCCAAUAGUCACAAUUCAACAAUCAACACGUAUCAAGUAUGUCAAUCAUAAGAGUUAAACGGAUCAAUCAGAAGUACCAAGUGCAUCAAUCACAUACUUGAUUGCAUAUGAUUGGUCUACUUGUUGAUUGUCAUAGAUACAUUUGAUACUUGUGAUUGAUCCAUUUGACUAUUGUGAUUUACAUACAUGAUACAUGUUGACUGUUGAAUUGUGACUAUUGUACUAUGAUUAUUGAGUCUUAUAAACUGUGUAUUAGAACUAUUAACUGAUGAUAGAAAUAACUCUUUUUCUCAAUGUCUGAUAGCAUAUUUGAGAUUUUCCCAUAAAAUAAUGAAUCAUGAUAUUUAUUACCAUUUACUAUGUAACGAAACAGAUUUAGACAACUCUCAAAGGUUUAUGUAAUAUUAUUUUGGUCAGGAUCUCAAGAGAACGUUGCAAACACAUUAAAUUGUUGGUAUAAUUCAUACUAAAUUUGGAUUAAAUUUCGAACUGAUGAUCCAUUUCACUGAAGGCGCAAACUCAUGUAACGUAUUUAAGGAUAUGACAUUUUAUUCAAAUUCAAGACCUACUAGAUGAUGACGUGUGUUUAAAUGACGUGGAAACUCCAAUCAGAACAAGAACCAAUCAAGAGUUGUUUAGUGUCCUAAAUGACAUCUCUUGACCAAUCACAAGCAACCUUAUAAAAUAACAUUAGUGACAAACUUAAUGACUAUCAAAAUGAGGGGAAAAAUUUCAUUUACACUUGGACUGCCUACUUCGUACAACUGUAAAAAAUAGAGGGCAGGGGUUCAUAACUUUCUAAAGCAUUCUGCAGUCGGAGGAGCAUUCUGCUAACACAGUAAGCCUCGUUUACUGAUAAGCCUCUGGAUGCAACUCUGUAAAGGGGAAAUCCCAACUUGGUAGAUAAUGGAUCUGAUCGUUUUUCUGGUAAACAUUAACAAAGAACUCCUGAAAACAAGUAUUUAUAAAGUCUCUAGUGUUAACUUGGUAAACAUUAAGCCUCUAGUGUUUGAUUAUAACAUCAACAAAGAACUCCUGAAAACAAGUAUAUAUAAAGUCCUAUUGAUGCAUCAAGGAGUAGUACGCAAAUUUAGCCUCUUGUACCCUAGCUCCAACCGUUUUUCUAAUAUUGAAACCUGGAUUGUGUUUUUGUCUAACAAAAAUGUCCAGGAAUUAUCACUUGCAUUUCUUAUAUGCUUUCGCCUUCCUUCUCACCUAUUCAAAUUUUCAGGAUCUAAAGCACCUGGAACUUAAUAAUUGUAAAUUCCACCCUCCUCCCAACUUUAAAGGUUUUCAAAGUUUUGUUACCCUUAAUUUUCAAGUUGUAACUUUCGAGCCCAUUACUUGAGCAUGUAUCGAUGGUUUGCUGCAGUGAUUUUGAUAGCUUCAUUAUUGAGGUCCCUAAUCUAAAAAUCUUUGAAUUCAGCGGCAGAGCAAAUUCCCUUUGCUUUAGAAGAACCCCUCUGCUUGAGGAAGUUGCAUUGGGCAUGCCUUUUAACAUGUUGGAGUCCUUUACCGUACCAGAGCCUCAGUUAACACUAGACAACAUCAAAAUUUUGAAUUUUAAGAAUUUGAUCUUUGCCAAGGUUGACUGGGUUACAUAUGUGCUUGACUUGAUCAGCCGCUUCCCCAACAUAGAAAGGCUUCUAAUUACUUCUGAUGCUUUAGAAGCGUGCGAGUGCAUGUACACAUCCCUUGCGAUAAAAAGAAAUGACACAAAGUGCAAUGAAGCGGCUCAAAAGCGUGGAUAUGACCCUCCUCUACUGGGUUGAUAAAACUGAAACAGAAUUCUUGAAGCAUGUAUUGGCAUAUGCAACUGCACUUGAGAAAAUAUACAUUGCAACUUCUGGAGAAAUCCGCCAUAGGGGAAUGAAAAUGAUGGAGGAGAUGAAGCGAUUCCCUCGAGCCUCACCUAAUGUAGAAUUUAUAUUUCAUUCAUAAGCUUGAUCUAUUUUUGUAGCAAUAACAAUAUUGUUUAUCCGAGAUUCCUAGUUUCUUUUUUAAUUUCAUUGUUUGUUUGAUCUCUUCAUAAAAAUAAAUAUGAAGUAUAAUUUUUGGAUGGAUGUUCCUCAUAAUUGAGUUUGUCAAUGUAAUAAAAAGAACCUAGAGAUUUCUGUAUGUGGUUGAAA